GAUGAACGCUGGCGGCGUGCCUAAUACAUGCAAGUCGAACGAACAGACCUGGAGCUUGUUGUUCUUACCUUAGCGGCGGACGGCUAACUGACAAGUAGCUCACGUAUCUUUUAGACCCGGCUAACUUCUAGGCCCGGGAAAUAAUAUCGAAUUCCCUAUAGGACCGCAUGGUUCAAUAGUGAGUGACGGACUUGCUGUCAGUUGUAGGUGGUUCCGCGCCGCCUUAGCUGGUUGGUAAGGUAACGGCUUCCUACGACAACGACGCGUAGUCGACCUGCGAGGGUGAGCGGCCACACUGGAACUGAGACACGGUCCAGACUCAUACGGGAGGCAGCAGUAGGGAAUCUUCCGCAAGGGGCAAAAGCCGGACGGAGCAACGCCGCGUGAGUGAGGAAGGUCUUCGGAUCGUAAAACUCUGUUAUUAGGGAAGAACAAAUGUGUAAGUAACUAGGCACGUCGUGACGGUACCGAAUGAGAAAGCCACGGCUAACUACGUG
rnacentral:rRNA from 1 species